GGGAGAUCGCAACGCAGAGACGACCAGAUGCAUACGAAAGACUACCAGCGGAGAGUGACCUGUGCCAUAUUUCUCUUAACCUCUCAGGUAUUCAAGAAAUGGCAACAUCCAGAAGAAGACGCCAUCUUAUCCAGCACGUUAUGGGUACACUCUGGUGGCUCCCGCCCCUGCAUCCUACGACCACCGUGUCCUCACUAUGUUCACUAGGGAGUUCGAAGCCUUUGGCGGCUCCUGCCACUGCGUCCUGCCACCACCGUGUCCUGACUACGUCCACUAGGGAGUUGGCAGCCUUCGUGAUGAUGCCAAGCAGGCUGGAAGCUGACAGAAAGAU